rnacentral:rRNA from 1 species
GAUGAACGCUGGCGGCGUGCCUAAUACAUGCAAGUCGAGCGAACAGACGAGGAGCUUGCUCCUCUGACGUUAGCGGCGGACGGGUGAGUAACACGUGGAUAACCUACCUAUAAGACUGCGAUAACUUCGGGAAACCGGAGCUAAUACCGGAUAAUAUAUUGAACCGCAUGGUUCAAUAGUGAAAGACGGUUUUGCUGUCACUUAUAGAUGGAUCCGCGCCGCAUUAGCUAGUUGGUAAGGUAACGGCUUACCAAGGCAACGAUGCGUAGCCGACCUGAGAGGGUGAUCGGCCACACUGGAACUGAGACACGGUCCAGACUCCUACGGGAGGCAGCAGUAGGGAAUCUUCCGCAAAGGGCGAAAGCCUGACGGAGCAACGCCGCGUGAGUGAUGAAGGUCUUCGGAUCGUAAAACUCUGUUAUUAGGGAAGAACAAAUGUGUAAGUAACUAUGCACGUCUUGACGGUACCUAAUCAGAAAGCCACGGCUAACUACGUG